rnacentral:rRNA from 1 species
GUCUUUUUGAGUUAUUUUUAAAGUCUGACCUGCCCACUGAAUUUAUUUUAAAUGGCCGCAGUAUUCUAACUGUGCAAAGGUAGCAUAAUCAUUAGUCUUUUAAUUGAAGGCUGGUAUGAACGGUUGGACGAGGUAUAAGCUGUUUCAUAUAAAUUUAUAAUAGAAUUUUAUAUUUUAGUCAAAAAGCUAAAAUGUAAUUAAAAGACGAGAAGACCCUAUAAAUCUUUAUAAUUUAUAUAAUUUAAAUUUUUUGGAUUUGUUUUAUUUUUAUUGUAUAAAUUAUUUUGUUGGGGUGAUGUUAAAAUUUAAUGAACUUUUAAUUGAAUUUAAAUCAUUAAUUUAUGAAUUAUUGAUCCAUUAGUAGUGAUUAUAAGAUUAAGUUACUUUAGGGAUAACAGCGUAAUUUUUUUGGAGAGUUCAUAUCGAUAAAAAAGUUUGCGACCUCGAUGUUGGAUUAAGAUAUAAUUUUAGGUGUAGUCGCUUAAAUGUUAAGUCUGUUCGACUUUUAAAUUCUU